CCCUUAGAUGUUCUGGGCCGCACACGCGCUACACUGAAGGAGGCAGCGUGUACUCCUGGAACGAAAGAUUUGGGUAACCCGCGAAUCUCCUUCGUGCUAGGGAUUGAGGUUUGCAAUUAUCCUUCAUGAACGAGGAAUUCCCAGUAAGUGCAAGUCAUAAGCUUGCGCUGACUACGUCCCUGCCCUUUGUACACACCGCCCGUCGCUACUACCGAUUGAAUGAUUUAGUGAGGACUUCGGACUGGGACCGAUGCGGCUUUCGGGCUGCGUCGGUAUUCUGGAAAGAUGUCCAAACUGUAUCAUUUAGAGGAAGUAAAANUCGUAACA
rnacentral:rRNA from 1 species